UACGUAGGGUGCGAGCGUUAAUCGGAAUUACUGGGCGUAAAGCGUGCGCAGGCGGUUCGUUGUGUCGGCGGUGAAAGCCCCGGGCUUAACCUGGGAAUGGCCGUUGAAACUGGCGAACUGGAGUGUGGCAGAGGGGGGUGGAAUUCCGCGUGUAGCAGUGAAAUGCGUAGAUAUGCGGAGGAACACCGAUGGCGAAGGCAAUCCCCUGGACCUGUACUGACGCUCAUGCACGAAAGCGUGGGGAGCAAACAGG
rnacentral:rRNA from 1 species